AUCUCGACCUUGCACAGCGACUGCUGCUACCCACGCGCAGGGGCGGCUGAGGUCUCCAGCAGCCUUGGGAAGUAUGAGGGAAAAGCACUUAAGACACGCUCUGAAACAUAGAAGGGCGUCCCUCGCCGCCCUGCUCGAAGCCUCGCCCAUUCCCAUGCCGGACCCGGCCACGCUGCUGUAGACGAGACCUUCCCGGAGCGCUCGGGUGCGUUAUACCUCCCGCUCUUCCUUUCCCCGUGCCCUGCUUUCCGCACACCCUGCGCGCUCCGGGAGCGGGCCGAGCCGGAUGUGGGGGCGCGGCUGCCCGUACUCCCGGGGAGACGUGAAACCCGACACUGCCUUCUCUGGCAGGGUUUGCCUUGGAGAUUUGGAGAGUCCUUUCGCUUGGCUUUUCCAUGUGUGAUUUAAAGUGACUAGUAAGAAAGCGGAGUGGAAGUCUACGUAAACUCCCUGGAGUAAAAGCCAACUUUACUUGUUUUGAUGAGGAAGACUGGGGUUCUUGCCAUCUUUAAAUGGCAGUUCGUGUGGUCGCUGGUAAUGUACUCAAGCCUGGCAGAGGAACAAGAAGCAUGAAAGGUCCUUUCUGAGACUUCUGUUUUCCCUGCUCGUUCUUUUACAGGGAAAUUUGAAAGCUGGGAAGCACGUUGAGAAAUUUUAACACUGAACAAAGCGAAAUUGCAGAUUUAAAAUGCAGGGGCUUCCGCAUGAGCUCAUGAUGUGAAGGAAACAAAGAGCACUUUCCAAAUAUCUAUGGCACUGAUGUUAUAUCCUGUUUUUGCUGCUGCUGAGACGGUUACGAAAUGUUAAAGAAACAAAUGCUGUCCAAAAUGACAGGCUUGCUUAGACCUAGUUUAGAGUGUGAAAUGUUUCUUCAUCUCUUUUGAAAGGCUUUCUUAACAUGAGGCUCGAGAUAUGACCAUAUCUUGAUUAGUACAGCAUGCUGUUUGCCUUGCUAAUCACACCGACGUUUGAAUGUUGCACAACAUCUGCGUUGCAGUCGUGGGAGCAAAGGUUUCGGCAUGGUGUUAAGUAUCAAAGAGUAAAAUUGUUUGAACCUUGCACAGACUCAGCUUGUUAAUGCUGACAGGGAGUUACGAUAACCUUGCGUGUCCUUGUGUGUGAACUUCUAGUAUGCUGUUACUUGCUGCAUAAAAAAAGGUGUCCUUGAUUUUGGUUCUAUGCUGUAUGGACUGCUCAUAGCGUGAAAAAGCUCAAACAUAGGAGUAUGAAUAAGUUUAUUAGAGAAACUGAUUAAUACAGUGGUGGGUUUCUGUCUGCUUCUCUGGUGUGAAAUGGAAAUGACUUGUGCUUUAAGGAGUAAAUAUGUUUCUUUAUACUCUCAGAUGUUUAUUCUAAAAAAUAAAAAUCUUCUGGACCUUGUUGGCACAGUAACAGGUCAGCCUAGGCUUAGGCAAAUAGAAUUGUUAGAAAGGUAGUUUCCCAUGCAAUAGGUGAGAAAUUAACCAGUAGGUGUCAACUCAGCUUUGAAAUCUUACGUUUUGUUCAGGGAAGCUUGAAAGUUAAUGAAGACCAGAAAUUAGUAUUCAGGUGCACUUUGAUCUUAACCUCCUUGAGUUUUUCUCUCAGCUUUUUUAGGGGACAAGAGGACUAAUGAGUCCUAGAAUUUAUGGUUUUCUUUCUGGAGAUACUACAAAUAUGAGAAUAGCCCCUUUUCUGAGAAAAUUUGGAGUGAUAGUGAACUAAAAUAGCCAGACUUACAGAAAGCUGCCCCCCCCAUGGCUUGUUUUCCCUUACUGUGCCUGGGGGUUUCCUAGCUCUUUUAACAGGAAGAAGGAAAAUUAUUUUUGUACUCUGUGUAGGCCAUGUCUUUCAUUUACCAUCCCUAAUGUGACCUUUCAGUGUCGGUGGUGAUGUCAGACUUGAGCUAUUUGAAAUGAUUAACCGUCUUCCUGUUCCAGAAGCUUUGCAUUGAAAUAUUUACUUAUUUAACACUGCACUGAACAGAAAAAUGUUCAGUAUUUUGUUGCGGCAAUAUUGGCAAAUCACAUGUGCACAAGAGCACAUAACCUGCUGGGGCAGCUUUAACUCUGAUGACUAUGAACUUCUGUUUUCUGUGUUGAGAAGAUAUACUGACUUUUUCUCAACUUGUGUUUUUGUAUGUAAAGAUAAAAAUGCUGUUUCAGAUACUGAAGAUCUUCAUGUUGCUCUUACUUAUUGCCCACUGAGAACCCUCAGAGAGGGAGUGCUUUUAAGUCAUACAUUUCAGUUCCUCAAGUGCUUUUGAAAGUCCUGGCUGUAAGUACCUGGGGAGUGCUUUCCUAUGGGAGUAUUUUCUGCCUUCCCCCUUCUGGAAUAAAUUCCAUCUCACAAAAAAGUUUGUUUUUCUGUGGGACAUCUCACAAAUAAUACUUGAUGCUAGUUUGGAAAUCAGAAGUUAACAGCAAAAAUGCUUUUCCCCUGGUAGAACACUGCACAAUACAGAUUACAGUCCAUGGGAGUGGAAUUCCUGCUUAUGGAUCCUGGCUCCAUCCUCUCUGGUCACUCAGGUGUAUUGCAUUGCAUUGCACUGAGUGCACCUGAGCUACCCUGGGUUGGCCCUGCCUUCCACCAGGUGCUCAAUCACUGCUUCAGGCCAUGACUUAGCAUUUCCACUACAGCUGUGCUUCUCCAGUUGUACCAAGCAGAUCCUUGUGUGAAACAGCAUGUUCAAAAGUACACUCAUUUUGUCUUCACAAUUUAUUUUUGUUGGAAACACUUUUCAGCUUGUUCCUAAAUGAUGUGAUGUGAAGAACAACACUGUGCCUAUCUCUCUUGGGUUCUGAAGAACAGAACUGUGUCUGAGGAUGCGCUGCUUUUUCCUGGUUCUGUGCUGUAGCAGGAGUACCAUAAUCAUGCAUCAUCUCUAUGUGUUUAGAAGUAUGUGUUGAACGCACAUGGUAUGUGGUACAUGUAGAGCUGACUGUUCAGGAGACUGAUAAGCAAAGGUUAUCCACAGCCUUGUUACUGUUAGGUGCUUUUGAAUACACUGUGCUACUGAAAAUGAGCUUAAGUGGCCUCGAUGGCAUUUUGAGUAUUGCAAAUACUUUCAGUCUCGUUUGCAUGAUGGUAUAGAAGUGUAGGAGUUUUUAAACUAAGUAAUACUUGGGUCUUCUAAUGUGGUGAAUUUAUGAUAUUUUACAACAGAAACUUCUGUUUUGCUUUUGAAGGUGCCACCUUGGGGUCAUAGCAGCUGCUUGUGUUAAAAUCCCCUAGUGGUUCAGUCAUGUUACCAGAAAGAUGAUUUUUUUUUUUGCUUUUUUUAUUCUUUAAAUAGUGAUGUCUUUUCCUGCUAUUGUGGUUGUCAUAAGGUGUAGGAAAAAUCCACUGCAGUCUUUGACUCCACAGAAAAUAUGGUUCACAAGGGUAGCUAGGGUAGAUAAAAAGAGACUUUGCCAUAGGAAUUUGAAUUUGAUUUGCUUUUCGUGAGUAGUAGAACUUAGCCUAUGGUUUACUCUGAUCCAACCCUUACACGUUUUCUGUGUAAAGUCAGUUAAGUGUAUAGAAUUAUUUUUUCAAUUAAACAGCUCUGAAAUGAUGAUUGAUUUUUUAAAAAAGCUUUUAGAUGAGUUUUCCUUAGCUGCUUAAUGCACAGACAUAGUAUGUGUUGUUGAAUGUGACUUCCAGGGCUGAAACUGAUUUUUAAAAAAAUGUUACCCUGGUCUUACACUCUUACUACAUAUUAGUCUUUGAUGCUCUAUUGGGUUUUGUUUUACAGUGUGGUUUACACAAAACCAUAUGCAGUGUAUUAACUGAACUGCUUGUAAGGGCUAAGAUUUGUCUUCAGAUUGCUUAUUUCAUCUUUCUCAGUGUACAUCACGGGGAUCAAAGAGGGACAGAUAGAAUUUCCAUAGUGGCAACGGAAAUUGAUCAUAGCACCCUAGUUACUUUGUUAAUCGUGAGGGUUUUUUUUCUAGUUUUGAAUUCUUUCAGUUUUCAGUAUGGAUAUCACUUGAAGAAAGAGGUGGUCUGUGGCUUAUCUGUGCCUUCAGAGUUAACUGAUUGGCAUACUGAAGGUUGGAAUUUUUUCUUUUGAGUGGUUCUUUGACCUUAUCGAGCAUGGAGAGUGUGGGGGAGGAACCCUUCAAACCCUGGUAACUCAGUGGAAUCACUUAAAGUGGUACUAAUAAAUAAGGCAGUCUACAUGUUCCUGAAUAUGAAGGUAACUAAUAUGUAAAAAUAUUACAUUGUUUUUGUUAUUUUAACUUUGAAAUGGAUACCUGAUAAGUGUUUCUGUAUUUAGUUUGUUGUUGUUUUCAUUGUUUUGUCUAUGGUGUGUGGCUACACUACCUCUUAACUCUCAAAAUGCUUCCUUUAAAAUGUCUUGAGACAUUUGGGCAGGAGACUGAGUGGUGGGUUGUUGGAAAGAGAUCAGGGCUUUAGACUUCAAUUGCAGUGCAACUUAAUGUCUUAUUACCAGAAACCCUUGAAAUACAGACUUCUUAUCAGCGAGUUGAUGACUCUUGUUUCACUUCCUAUGGAAUUCACAGGCUUGUAUUAAGAAUUCCUUACCUCAAAAUGCAUAUAGUUACAACUGAAGGCCAGAGACGUUCUGUAGCAGAUACAGACUUCAUGUCAUGUUGGCCUCCUGUUUAAAAGAAGGAAGGCUGGCAAUUUUAAAGGGACAGCGAGAAAGUGAUGACUAAGUGCGAAGUACCAGCUAUCCUUAUUCAUCAGAUUGAAGAAGAAUUGGAUAAAGAAGAAGAUGAGAUGAUGAUUUUCCUGUGCCGAGACCUUGCCCCUGACUUGGCUACUGCUGGCCUUAGAGAGCUUCUGGUGGCUUUGAAUGAAAGGGAUAAACUAUCUUUUCUUGGUUUGUCUGAGCUGUUGUACAGAGUUAAAAGGUUUGAUUUGCUGAGGAGGAUCUUGAAGACUGAGAAGACAACAGUGGAAGCUAACCUUAGCAGGAAUCCCAGACUUGUCCCUGAUUACAGGGUACUAAUGGUGGAGAUUAAUGAGAAUCUGGAAAAAGAAGAAGUGAGUUCUCUUGCUUUUCUACUCAAAGAUUUUACUCCUCGAAUGAAAAUGGCAAAAGAUAAGAGUUUUCUUCGUCUAGUAAUUGAACUGGAGAAACUGAAUUUGGUGGCUCCAAAUCAGCUGGAUUUGAUGGAAAACUGUUUUCGAAAUAUUCACAGGAUUGACCUGGUUAAGAAGAUUGAGAAGUAUAAGCAAGAAGCUUUCAUGUCCUCCGUUCGUUCUCAGCCUGUGUAUGUAAAUGCCCUUCAGGCAUCUCUCCCUAAUCUCAGUCUGAUUGAUCCUCCUUACAAUUCAGGGUUUCAGAAUAUGAACAAAGAAAAAUCACAAAAUGGAGAAAUCUCAUUUCAAGAAGAACCAGUCCAUAUGUCUAUUCAAGAAUCAGGACCAGCAUCACAUAAGGUGUACAGAAUGCAAAGUCACCCCUUAGGAGUAUGCCUGAUUAUAGACUGUGUUGGUAAUGACACGGAUAUGUUGGAAGACACUUUCAGAGGCUUAGACUAUGAUGUUCAUUGUCACCAGCACUUAGAUAUGUCCACCAUGAGUAGAACAUUGGUUGAAGUUGCAAGGUUACAGAAGCACAGGAGUUGUGACAGCUUCAUAUGCAUAUUGGUCAGCCGUGGAAAUGCUCAGAACAUCUUCUGUACAGACAGCAUCUCUACUGGAUUCCCUUUGGAGCAAAUAAAAAAAUACUUUACAGCAGAUUCAUGUCCUGAACUCCGAGGAAAACCAAAGCUCUUCUUUAUUCAGAGCUACAUUGUGCCAGAAGAUGAGCAAGAAUUUACUAGUCUGGAAAUAGAUGGAAAUGAUAAGAAAAUCAUCUCUAAUGCAAAAAUGCCCUUGAAAGACACUAUUCCCCAAGUAGCAGAUGUCUUUUGGAGUCAGUGCAAGGUGGAUGUGUCUACACUAGAAAAAUCUCCAAAACAAUCCUCGUAUUAUCUGCGUUGUCUGGCUGAGCUACUCCGCAAUCCUCAUAAAAGGAAACUCUCUAUAUUAGAUAUCCAUACGGAACUGAACAGAAGAGUCUAUGAAUGGAAUAAGACAACUGACCCAAGCCAGCAAUACUCACUUCUGCUCCAGCACACACUGAGGAAAACACUUUUUCUUUCUCCCAGUUAACUGCUAUUGGAAAGGACAUUCUGAAGUAGCUGAGGAGUGUUUCCUCUGACUCAGUUUCAACCACGCUUUUACUUAGACUUUAUUACUGCACAUGUGCCUAUUGCUUCCAAACCCAGGUAUUUAGAAGCAUUUUAGGGUGUUUAGGCACUAUAGAGUUUAAUAUGUAAGACUGAAAGCCUGGAUGGUAACAGCAGCUGUUGUACUGAAUGGCAACAGAUCUUACAAGCAAGUACAACAGGUAAACAGUGGGGAAAAAAUUCUAAACUGUAUGGUUGUUGGAUUUUCCAGGGUUCUGUGUUUUUAUUCUUUGGUUAUUUGUAUUUUAGUGGUCUUGAUGUAAGUGCACUGAACUAGGCUUUUCUUUCGUUGCUUAAAAAAAAGACAGGCCACCAAAAUCAUUGAAAUCUAGUGUGCAAACCAUUGAAAUUCACUGAGUACUUUCUCAUCACUUAAAACAUGUCAGAAGAUGGUUACUCAGCAUACCUCCACAGAAUUAAACAAAACAGAAGUAAGAGAGGGAUGGUCUUUUUAAAUAAUCUUGAUUCCAUCUGCCUUGUAUAUUAGAAGUUCUAAUUCACCCAGAACUCUGUACUGUCAGUACUAUCCAUAGCACACAAGGAUUGUAUGCUAAUAAAUCAGACAGUCUGACAUGUUUUGUGCUGCGUUCACCACUGAUGCAAAAAUGACUCUACGUGUGGCAGGGCUUUGUGAUAGUCUGUGCAGAUUAGAAAAAUACGUAGUGGGAUUUUGGCAGGUGUUCCAGAGGUGCUGAAAUGCAAUUCACUGUGUGGUAGCAGGCAAAGUAUAAGUACACUGUUUAACACAUUUGAGCCAAAAUGUAGCAACCGUCGCUUCUUAAGACUGAAUAAAAUUAUUCCAACACCUUCCCACACAUACCUCUUCUGAUUAUGGAAAAGGUUUAUCAGUUUAUUAACUGGUUUGGUUUUGUUUUUUAAGUUGCUCUCAUCUGUCAAGAAAAGGCAGUAGUGAAUGUUGUAGCUUUUUUUUUUUUCCUCCAAUAGAACAUAUGCCUAACGCAGAAAGUUCAGCUGACCUGUUUGUUAUGUAACAGUAUAACCUGGAUGACUUAUAUUGAAUUUUAAUGAGUUUGUAGCAUUCUCUUCCCCCCUUAUAUAGUUUACUUGCAAACUUUUAAUACUACGAUAGUUUCCUAAUCAGGAAAAAAUGCCUUUUCAUUCCUCAGUAUUAUAUUGUAUUUCUAGAUGCUGGAUUGACAUCGUUUUUGAUAACCCUGUGUUUUAUUUUUUCUUUUAAAACAAUCUUUUUAUAUAUUAAUUCAGAUAAAUAGCAAAUGAGUUUUCAAGUAGCUUCUAUAAUUGUAAGUAAAGUCACAUUUAUCUGUGUAGUCUGGUUGGUGUAGUCUAACUCCAUUAAGCUCACAGAAGUCCUUCCUUGUUACGUGGUGUAGGUCCAGUUUCUUCCUGGCUUGAGAGUUCCUAAACUGCUGAUUGAGGAGAAACCCACUGAACAGCUUUUACAUGUGAUGAGUACUUCUGCUGCCAUAUAGACACCAAAUGCAGGGAAAAUGGAACAAAGAGAGGGCAGAGAUGAGGGAAAGAAAUAGUGGAAAUUCAAGCAGAAGUGAAAAGGGGAGUGGUAGGGAUAACCAAGAGAAGAACACGUAAGGAAAAGAAGAUAUGGAGACAUCAUAUCUACAUAUGUACAACAUCAAUAUUGGAAGAAGAAAAGAUAGGAAAUAAGAAUAAAUGGAUAUUAUUAAAAGAUGUGAAAACUCUUUUGGGGGGUGAUGCUAAGUCCAACUACUUAGUAAAAUGUUAGCAAUAGAAUAUAUUCUGUUUCUUACGAGUUUGUGACAUGGGUUUGUGUUGAAGGUUGAGGUGUAUUCUCUGCUGCAGUGUAGUCCAUAUCCCCUUUCUUAGGAAAUAAAGGAAGAAGCACUGUUUUGAAAACAGUGGAGAUGCCUGUAAAUAACCCUUGUAGUAAAGAAAGGAAAGAAGUUGCUUUGAUCAGUUCUGAUCUAAGAAGCCAAACACGGAGUCCUCUAAUGAUCAAGGUGUUUGGGGGACAUCCUGUGUCGUGUAGCAUUCAUGGGCAUCAGAUACUGGAUUUCUACCCUGAAGUCUUGACCCUCAGCAAUUCUUAACCCACACUAGUACUCAUUCUGGAAUCGUUCAUCUAAGCAGCAUUUAUUGCCUUCGCUUCUCCUUCAAGAGUUAAGAGUUUGAUUUCCUGGACUAAUGUGUGGGAAUUUUACAGUGGCAGAAGUUGUCUGUAACCUCUCCAGUAGAUUUCUGUGCCCC